rnacentral:rRNA from 1 species
GCAUGGUUGUCGUCAGCUCGUGCCGUGAGGUGUCGGGUUAAGUCCCAUAACGAGCGCAACCCCUACUGCUAGUUGCCAGCGGGUCAUGCCGGGGACUCUAGCGGAACUGCCAGCGUAAGCUGCGAGGAAGGUGGGGAUGACGUCAAAUCAGCACGGCCCUUACGUCCAGGGCUACACACGUGUUACAAUGGCCAGUACAGAGGGCAGCCACCCCGCGAGGGGGCGCUAAUCCUAAAAGCUGGUCCCAGUUCGGAUCGGAGUCUGCAACCCGACUCCGUGAAGCUGGAUUCGCUAGUAAUCGCGCAUCAGCCACGGCGCGGCGAAUACGUUCCCGGGCCUU